GGCUCCGUGGCUUAAUGGCAACGGCCUCUGCCUUAUAAGCAGAAGGUUCAGGGAUCAAAUCCCGGCCGGUACCU
rfam:Culex pipiens quinquefasciatus supercont3.380 genomic scaffold, whole genome shotgun sequence.